CCAAAUAAUGAAUGAAUAAGGGAGAUUGGGCCUAAGGCCCAAGCUAUCCCUUAAGCCACAUCAACGGGAAUGAAAAAUCCCAAAUCGACGUCCCAGCCAAAACAAAACCAUCGUCGCUCUCUCCCUCUCCCAUGGCCUAUCGGAAACCCUAAAGCCUCCGCCGCAUCGGGGCUUAUCGUUGGCGGCGACAAAGUCCUCACCCUACUCGCGCUCACCCUACUAUCACCAUUUCUACCUAUUGAUUCCUAAUCCCUGGCCAAAUUCCUAAUUCCUCCCUAAACAAGGCAAACCUAAACAGCUUUCUAUGCAAACGUAAUAAAAUCAGAGCGAAAAUGAUGAAGAUGUGCUUACCUACGGAUACGCCGCUCUACCGGAAUCGAUGGACGAGAAGUACCAAAUUUUGAAUCGGAGGCUUCGAAUCUGGUAACGAGAGGAAUCGCGCUUGCGUCGUCCGCUCCUCUUCUUUACCCUUGAUUACAACUUUGAAAUGACUUGAUGAAGGUGGCUUGUAAGAAUGCCAACUUGGAGGCGCGCUGGUCUUGGUCAUUAACAGCACUUUUUUUUCAUUUAAUUAGAAAUGUAAUUAUUUAAGUUAUUUUUUAAAGACAAAUGUGUAUAUUUGGAUUUAUCUGUAACUUAUUGAAUUAAAGCUAAUAGCCAUUGUAACUUGUUGGAUUUGAAAAGAAUUGAAUUAUUAAAGUGUAUUUGGGCUA